rnacentral:rRNA from 1 species
AACGAACGCUGGCGGCAUGCCUAACACAUGCAAGUCGAACGAGAUCUUUCGGGGUCUAGUGGCGCACGGGUGCGUAACGCGUGGGAAUCUGCCUUGGGUAUGGAAUAACUCAGAGAAAUUUGAGCUAAUACCAUAUGAAGUCUUCGGACCAAAGAUUUAUCGCCCUGAGAUGAGCCCGCGUAGGAUUAGCUAGUUGGUGGGGUAAAGGCCUACCAAGGCGACGAUCCUUAGCUGGUCUGAGAGGAUGAUCAGCCACACUGGGACUGAGACACGGCCCAGACUCCUACGGGAGGCAGCAGUGGGGAAUAUUGGACAAUGGGCGCAAGCCUGAUCCAGCAAUGCCGCGUGAGUGAUGAAGGCCUUAGGGUUGUAAAGCUCUUUUACCCGGGAUGAUAAUGACAGUACCGGGAGAAUAAGCCCCGGCUAACUCCGUG